rnacentral:rRNA from 1 species
AGUCGAGGGGCAGCAUAUAGAUUGCUUGCAAUUUAUGAUGGCGACCGGCGCACGGGUGAGUAACGCGUAUCCAACCUACCCAUUACUAGGGAAUAACCCAGCGAAAGUUGGCCUAAUGCCCUAUGUAGUCGUUUGAUCGCCUGAGAUUUCGACGAAAGAUUUAUCGGUAUUGGAUGGGGAUGCGUCUGAUUAGCUUGUUGGCGGGGUAAAGGCCCACCAAGGCAACGAUCAGUAGGGGUUCUGAGAGGAAGGUCCCCCACAUUGGAACUGAGACACGGUCCAAACUCCUACGGGAGGCAGCAGUGAGGAAUAUUGGUCAAUGGGCGAGAGCCUGAACCAGCCAAGUAGCGUGCAGGAUGACGGCCCUAUGGGUUGUAAACUGCUUUUAUAUGGGAAUAAAGUGAGGGACGUGUCCCUUAUUGCAUGUACCAUACGAAUAAGGACCGGCUAAUUCCGUGCCAGCAGCCGCGGUAAUACGGAAGGUCCAGGCGUUAUCCGGAUUUAUUGGGUUUAAAGGGAGCGUAGGCUGUUUGUUAAGCGUGUUGUGAAAUGUAGGAGCUCAACUUUUAGAUUGCAGCGCGAACUGGCAGACUUGAGUGCGCACAACGUAGGCGGAAUUCAUGGUGUAGCGGUGAAAUGCUUAGAUAUCAUGACGAACUCCGAUUGCGAAGGCAGCUUACGGGAGCGCAACUGACGC